ensembl:snRNA U6 U6 spliceosomal RNA
GUGCUCGCUUUGGCAGCAUAUGUACUAAAAUUGGAAUGAUACAGAGAUUAGCAUGGCUCCUGUGCAAGGAUGACACCAAUUCCAAAGCAUUCCAUAUAAGAAAU